rnacentral:rRNA from 1 species
GACGAACGCUGGCGGCGUGCUUAACACAUGCAAGUCGAACGGAAAGGCCCUGCUUUUGUGGGGUGCUCGAGUGGCGAACGGGUGAGUAACACGUGAGUAACCUGCCCUUGACUUUGGGAUAACUUCAGGAAACUGGGGCUAAUACCGGAUAGGAGCUCCUGCUGCAUGGAGGGGGUUGGAAAGUUUCGGCGGUUGGGGAUGGACUCGCGGCUUAUCAGCUUGUUGGUGGGGGAGGGGCUUACCAAGGCAUUGACGGGUAGCCGGCCUGAGAGGGUGACCGGCCACAUGGGGACUGCGAUACGGCCCAGACUCCUACGGGAGGCAGCAGUGGGGAGUAUUGCACAAUGGGCGGAAGCCUGAUGCAGCAGCGCCGCGUGCGGGAUGACGGCCUUCGGGUUGUAAACCGCUUUCGCCUGUGACGAAGCGUGAGUGACGGUAAUGGGUAAAGAAGCACCGGCUAACUACGUG